UUUCCGUAGGUGAACCUGCGGAUGGAUCAUUAUUGGAUUUUGAAACUUCAGGCUGCUGCUGGCUCUCCUCGGAGGGCAUGUGCACGCUUGUUGUCCAUUAUUUCUCCCACUGUGCACAAAUUGUAGACCUUUCAGUAGGCCUAUGUUGUUUUUCACAAUCUCUGAAUGUAAUAGAAUGGUUUUGAAUCUUGGGAAAUACAAUACAACUUUCAGCAACGGAUCUCUUGGCUCUC
rnacentral:misc_RNA from 1 species